rnacentral:rRNA from 1 species
UACGAAGGGUGCAAGCGUUACUCGGAAUCACUGGGCGUAAAGCGUGCGUAGGCGGUUCGUUAAGUCUGCUGUGAAAGCCCUGGGCUCAACCUGGGAACUGCAGUGGAUACUGGCGGACUAGAGUGUGAUAGAGGAUGGUGGAAUUCCCGGUGUAGCGGUGAAAUGCGUAGAGAUCGGGAGGAACACCAGUGGCGAAGGCGGCCAUCUGGAUCAACACUGACGCUGAGGCACGAAAGCAUGGGGAGCGAACAGG